AGAGUUUGAUUCUGGCUCAGGAUAAACGCUGGCGGCGCACAUAAGACAUGCAAGUCGAACGGAAGUCGUUAUAAAAGGAGAGAAGAUUUGUCGGAUUGAAUUUUAUAACAAUGGCUUUAGUGGCGGACUGGUGAGUAACGCGUAAGGAACCUACCUAUUAGAGGGGAACAACAAUGAGAAAUCAUUGCUAAUACCGCAUAUGCCAUAACUACCGCAUGGUAGAAGUGGGAAAGGAGUAAUCCGCUGAUAGAUGGCCUUGCGUCUGAUUAGUUAGUUGGUGGGGUAACGGCCUACCAAGACGACGAUCAGUAGCCGGACUGAGAGGUUGAACGGCCACAUUGGGACUGAGAUACGGCCCAG
rnacentral:rRNA from 1 species